rnacentral:rRNA from 1 species
GACGAACGCUGGCGGCGUGCCUAAUACAUGCAAGUAGAACGCUGAAGGAGGAGCUUGCUUCUCUGGAUGAGUUGCGAACGGGUGAGUAACGCGUAGGUAACCUGCCUGGUAGCGGGGGAUAACUAUUGGAAACGAUAGCUAAUACCGCAUAAGAGUAGAUGUCGCAUGACAUUUGCUUAAAAGGUGCAAUUGCAUCACUACCAGAUGGACCUGCGUUGUAUUAGCUAGUUGGUGAGGUAACGGCUCACCAAGGCAACGAUACAUAGCCGACCUGAGAGGGUGAUCGGCCACACUGGGACUGAGACACGGCCCAGACUCCUACGGGAGGCAGCAGUAGGGAAUCUUCGGCAAUGGACGGAAGUCUGACCGAGCAACGCCGCGUGAGUGAAGAAGGAUUUCGGAUCGUAAAGCUCUGUUGUAAGAGAAGAACGAGUGUGAGAGUGGAAAGUUCACACUGUGACGGUAUCUUACCAGAAAGGGACGGCUAACUACGUG